rnacentral:rRNA from 1 species
GAUGAACGCUGGCAGCGUGCCUAAUACAUGCAAGUCGAGCGAACAGACGAGGAGCUUGCUCCUCUGACGUUAGCGGCGGACGGGUGAGUAACACGUGGAUAACCUACCUAUAAGACUGGGAUAACUUCGGGAAACCGGAGCUAAUACCGGAUAAUAUAUUGAACCGCAUGGUUCAAUAGUGAAAGACGGUUUUGCUGUCACUUAUAGAUGGAUCCGCGCCGCAUUAGCUAGUUGGUAAGGUAACGGCUUACCAAGGCGACGAUGCGUAGCCGACCUGAGAGGGUGAUCGGCCACACUGGAACUGAGACACGGUCCAGACUCCUACGGGAGGCAGCAGUAGGGAAUCUUCCGCAAUGGGCGAAAGCUUGACGGAGCAACGCCGCGUGAGUGAUGAAGGUCUUCGGAUCGUAAAACUCUGUUAUUAGGGAAGAACAAAUGUGUAAGUAACUAUGCACGUCUUGACGGUACCUAAUCAGAAAGCCACGGCUAACUACGUG